AAAGUCGUAACAAGGUCUCCGUAGGUGAACCUGCGGAGGGAUCAUUACACAAUACAAUAUGAAGGCCGUACGCGGCUGGAUUAUUAUAUUACCCUUGUCUUUUGCGCACUUGUUGUUUCCUGGGCGGGUUCGCCCGCCACCAGGACCACACCAUAAACCUUUUUUAUGCAGUUGCAAUCAGCGUCAGUACAACAAAUGUAAAUCAUUUACAACUUUCAACAACGGAUCUCUUGGUUCUG
rnacentral:misc_RNA from 1 species